GCAGAGGGGAAUAGCAGGUUGUGCGUCUCUGUAAGAGACUAUUACUGUUACAUGCUACAGACACGGCCUGCGAUCUUCAAUCCCAUACUCUGUGGAGCACGCCUGCUGCAGCAAUGGGCGGUAGACAUGUAUGUCAAGAUUGAGAGUUGUCGGUUGAGGUGGUUCAGGAAGAACCAGACGCAGAUUUGGGUCGACUUGUAUAAAGGAGUUGUUGAUGCGAUCACAUCCGGUGAGACGCGAGCAAGCGCUGUUGGGACAAGGAUAGUUCUCCCUGGAACAUACCCAGGCGGUGAUCGUGACAUGAAGAAGAGGCAUAUGGAUGCCAUGGCAAUUGUCCACACAUACGGGAAGCCUGACAUCUUCUUGACCAUGACUUGCAAUCCAAAAUGGGAAGAGAUAACUAAUGAGUUGCUGCCUGGUCAGACUGCGCAGGACCGACUUGAUAUUGUGGCUCGCAUGUUCUAUGGCAAACUAGAGGCUAUGAAGGACAUGUUGUUCAAGAAGCAGAUCCUGGGUGUUGUUGUCGCUAAUGUAUACGUAGUCGAGUUCCAAAAAAGGAGCCUUCCCCACGCUCAUUUUUUGUUGAUCAUGGACUCAGCAUAUAAGCUUAUCGUCCCAGAGCAGUAUGACCGACUCAUAUCAGCAGAGCUCCCAGACAAGCAUAAGUAUCUCGAAUUGUAUGCAAUGGUGGUAAAGCAUAUGAUGCACGGACCAUGCGGUUCUCUCAACCCAAAGAAUGUUUGA
rnacentral:rRNA from 1 species